rnacentral:sRNA from 1 species
GGAUGUAGUGAGGAUCUGGAUGUGACCUUGACUGCCAGGGGCUGAUGCGGCCCAUCUGGCUGCUUUGGCUGCUCACUGCUCCCUGGGUGUGUCUGCCCCAGAGAUGACCAUCCCUGACAGAGCAGAGCAGUUCUUAUGUCAAGGAUAUAUGAGUAGCUGCUGUCUUCUGCUUGAAGCUCCAAAGACACUCUCAAAACAUGGCUUAUAUUCUUGCAUUUCUUU